rnacentral:lncRNA from 1 species
ACUUUAUUAUUUAAACACGACCCUUCACUUGCAAUAUGUAAUUUUAGCGAACCCAUGUUGUCUUUCUAAUCCACAUAAAGUUAAAUUACAAACAGAACAUGUGUUUACAUGUGAAGGAACAGUUAUAUCAAGGAGAACGAUAAGUAAACCUUAACAGGAGCAUCUUCAAAUCAGUUGAACUUAUUGUAAUCUGUAAAGCAAAUCGAGAAUAUAUAUAUAGCACAAUUUAAAAGAGUCUAUAUUAAAAGAGACAUGAUGAAGCGUAUUUCUUCAAAAUUCUUCUAUACACACGAGUUUUUAGAAGAAUUGCAAUAUCGAUAUUCAACAAAUUUGCAUAAGUGAUAAUGUGACUAAUUUAUUCACAAAAACACUGCCGAUGUCUACAUUCAAGAAAUUGUUACACUAUAUUUGAAUGUGUCGAUCCAAGAUCUUUAGUGAUUAACAUCAUGAGUAAUUGUACUAUUUUUUCCUUAGUUUAGGUUUUAGCCUAUUGAAUUUUUAUGGCAAGAUUUUAAUGACGCAACAUUUUUUUUGUACUUCAAAAUUUUAAUAAUUAAUUGUACUCUUUAUCCCUUUGUUUGAUUUUUAUCCACACAUGAUUUUUAUCGAACAAAAUUUUUACAAGACAAUUAUUGUGCAAAUAAUAAUCAAAGAAGGUGUUGUAAAAUUGUAGAAUAAUGAUUGAUGAUGAUUCUUUGAUUCUAUUAAAAUACUAAGAAAAAUCAUAUCUAAUCCAGAAGACUAUAUUUUGUUUUGAUUGUAACUUUCAUUUUGAACCCUAUAAAUAUAGGUUCUUGAUUUCCAAUGAAAUACAAACUCAAGUAUUGACACCCCCCCCCUCCCUCCCUCCCUCCCUCUCCCUCUCCCUCUCCCUCCCUCCUUUAGUUUCAUUCAAAACAAUAUUAAUUUUUUUUGAGCCAACAUUUCAAAUGUCCUUGCUUGUUGAUUAACAUGAAUAAUAGACCGUUUAAUUUAAUUUUAUCUUAUUUUUGUCCCUUUUUACUCUCUCUCCCUCUCUCUCCCUCCUUUAGUUUCAUUCAAAACAAUAUUAAUUUUUUUUGAGCCAACAUUUCAAAUGUCCUUGCUUGUUGAUUAACAUGAAUAAUAGACCGUUUAAUUUAAUUUUAUCUUAUUUUUGUCCCUUUUUACUUGAAAAUGAUUAAAGUUUAUAUCACCAUUCUUUGAGAAAAAUGUAGUAGCUGUAACCAUAGUUAUCAGAUCCGAACCGGACAUCGACCCGGACAAUGUAGUGGGUCAACGGGUCAGUGGUUCAACCGGUGACUCGGUGGUUCAAUCAGCGGGUCAAUUCCUACAAAAAAAAUUAUUAUUAUGUAUUUUCAUUGAAUAAUUUUUUUCCCAUUUUCCACGAAUAACAAAAUUAACCUCAUAUUAUUUUGUUAACUAAAUAUCAAUUUGUAUCCCAAUUUCACAAAUUAUGGACCAUAUAUAGUCAAAUAUGGACUUGAAACAAUAAAAACGACAAUCAAUAAUUAAAAAAAUAAAACUAUUUCAUAUGACAAGGUUCAACAAGGUUGCUUCAUAUAUUUGAAGAGUAUUCUUGCAAAAAUAAAACAAUGAACUUAAAGUUAAACGUGGCUAAAGAACAUGAUAACAAAGUAAAUUAUCCGAGGUAAGUUAAUAAUUUCUCAAUUAAGAAGAGUUAGAGUGCAUCCGCGCUGGAGUUUUGGACCUAAAUUCUUCAAUUCUUUCGCCUUGUACCAAUGACGUGGUCUCAAUCAUACUAAAAUCCUCGUUUCCAUUGUUUGUAUCAUUUCCAUUGUCAUCAUUUAGCAACUUUAUUUGGACAGAAAUUUGGAGUUUUGCAUGUUUCUAGCUACUUUAUUAAUAUGAAUUAAGAAAAAAAUUCAAAGAUCUAAGGUUUCUCCUGUAAGCUUUAUAGUUUAUGCAUAUCUGCAAAGAAGCUGAAAUAUUUAAAGGAUAGGCACUAACAUAAACAAGGAGAUAUCUCAAAAAAGAAUGGAGGUGGUCAAUAAACUAAAUAGGCUAAAAAGAAGAAGAAAUUCUUUGAUAGUGUCCAAGGAACCGGCUCUAAGCAUCUUGACAACAAAGAUCAGCAAUAUUUUAGUCUCUUAUAGGUGCUGGUAAUAACUAUUUUCGUCCCUAACGGGUGCUCUUGAGACUACCAAUAUUUUAGCAAAAUCAGCAGCAAAGCAAAAAAUGGUUCUACAAAAUCACCAAUCAAAUAAUAAACUCCUCAAACUGAAUAGAUUUAAAGCCUUUCACCAAUCAAAAUUGAUAGAAACUAAAAGAUUGAUCUUAAACCUGUCUUCAACAAAUUUCGUGGUUCAAGAAAUACAUGGAAUGGACAGUGAAUGUAAAUUAAUAAGAUGAUAAAAUCUGUCCAAUUCAAGUAAACACCAACUAAAGGGAAUAUAAAAUAUAGCAGAUUGUUAUGAAAAUUUAAUUCCAAUCCUAAAAGGGAAGAAUCCGAAGACGCAGUCCCCUGCAAUUCUGAAAACCAACUAUAUCUUGUUCUAAAUACAUGAUUCACCACAGGAAUAUUUUUCCCCGUCUAUUAUGCUUUGUAAGAAUCUGAAAUUGCACAAAAACAACUAUAUAUUGUUCUAAAAAUUUUGAAAUCCACCACAAGAAUAUUUUCAACUAAUCAAUCAAAAUCUAUUUCUACUGGUUUCAACUAACCCGUUCUUCUUCCAUCUCUUAAGGCUUUAAAUUGGAGAUUUGGAUUUUUUGGGAGUGAUUGAAUAGCAAACGGCAGCAACCGAGUCGGAGUUUGGAAGGACGAAGAAGACUUACCUGGGUAAUUUGAAUUGGGAAAUUGGAAAACACAAGUUUUAAAGCAAAAGAAAAAACCCGGUUGGUUCAAUUGCACAUGGGUCGACGGUUGGGCUAAAAACCCGCCGGCUUGACGGGUUUCCAACGGGUGGUUUGUCCACCUUUAAAUCUGUCUGACUCGGACAGGACCUAGGUCCGGUUCGACGGUUCUCGGAUUGAACCGGCCGGUCUGAUCCGAUCCGGGUUUUAUAAUUAUGGCUGU